UACGAAGGGGGCUAGCGUUGUUCGGAUUUACUGGGCGUAAAGCGCAUGUAGGCGGGUCGUUAAGUUGGGGGUGAAAUCCCGAGGCUCAACCUCGGAACUGCCUUCAAAACUGGCGACCUGGAGCAAGAUAGAGGCAAGUGGAAUUACGAGUGUAGAGGUGUAAUUCGUAGAUAUUCGCAGGAACACCGGUGGCGAAGGCGACCUGCUGGAUCCUUGCUGGAGCUGAGGUGCGGCAUCGUGGGGAGCAAACACU
rnacentral:rRNA from 1 species